CCCAGCAGAGGCUCAUGUUCUCCCCAUUACCCUACUCUGUGUCCCCAUCCCAGGUGUGGUGAUGGCAGCAGGUGGGAGGCUGUGCUGUGGUUGCUGAAUCCCAGGGACUCGUGGAUCCCAGCUGCUGUCUGGGAAGGUACCCACGUGCAUUCUGACCUGAGCUGAACACAUCUCCAGGUUCUGCUGUCUCUUUCCCAAGCAGGGAUUGAUUCAGCUCCAGGACUGCUGGUCCUGGAGGGCCAAGGGAAGGUCCUGAGGUAGGAAAACCAGACCUCUCUGAAA